GAAAAGCAGGGGAUCGCAAGACCUUGCGCUUUUGGAGCGGCCGAUGUCUGAUUAGCUAGUUGGUGAGGUAACGGCUUACCAAGGCGUCGAUCAGUAGCUGGUCUGAGAGGACGACCAGCCACACUGGGACUGAGACACGGCCCAGACUCCUACGGGAGGCAGCAGUGGGGAAUUUUGGACAAUGGGGGAAACCCUGAUCCAGCCAUGCCGCGUGAGUGAAGAAGGCCUUCGGGUUGUAAAGCUCUUUCAGCCGGAACGAAACGGUCACGGCUAAUACCUGUGAUCACUGACGGUACCGGAAGAAGAAGCACCGGCUAACUACGUGCCAGCAGCCGCGGUAAUACGUAGGGUGCGAGCGUUAAUCGGAAUUACUGGGCGUAAAGCGUGCGCAGGCGGUUUUGUAAGUCAGAUGUGAAAUCCCCGGGCUUAACCUGGGAACUGCGUUUGAAACUACAAGG
rnacentral:rRNA from 1 species